rnacentral:lncRNA from 1 species
AUUCUUUCCAUGGUUUACACACUUACCCAGCAGGGAUUAGAUGUUUCUCCUGAAUUUCAUUUAGCCCCCCUGUUCAUAUUUCUAACAUAUGCACCAUGUUUUAUUUUAUCUUUUCUUGGUUUUCAAUAAAUGUUUGUUGAAUGAAUAAAUAAAUGAAUGAUGAGAAAAUUAAGAAUCCUCUAUAAUGAAAGCGGCAAAGAAAAAUAUAUUUCCUAUGAAAGCGUAAUAAAUAGAAUGCCAUAAGAGCUGCUGUAUAUGAAAUCAAAUACACUUUCUGAAGAUUCACCAAAAUUGUGCAAUGAUCAUACAAUGACUUGGGAUUUGAAUUAUCAUCAUUUUUAAUCCUUUUUUUUUUUUUUUUUUUUUUUUUCCUUUAGUGCCACUCCUGAGCCUGGGAACCUCCAUAUGCCACGGGAAGCAGCCCUAGAAAAGGCAAAAAGACAAAAAAAAAAAAAAAGAUGAAGACUGCUUUGCAUGAAGUGAACAAUUCCCAUUUUUCCAAAGGUAACUUAUUCGGUGAUGUUCCUGUAACAGGUAGAUUCAACAGUAGAGCAUCUGAAUAAACUAAUACCUAGGAGUGAAGGCUCUGAAGAAUGUUGAUACUUGAAGUACUAAGGAAUGCAGACCUACUUUUCAAGACCCAAGGCAUUCCUGUGAAAUCCUAGCAGGCUUGUAAACAUCCUGCAUUAAAGAAUUGGCUAAAAAUAGCAACCAGCUUGGUGGUAGGCUGAUAAAAGAAUAGAUGUCAAUUACUUUGUGGUAGCCUAUGAGCUCAGGAUCUUUAUAAACCUGUGUUUUCCCAUGGAUAUUCUAUUUCUUACUAUCCCAAUUAAAAUAGAUCCUACUCCAUUUUUUUAAAAAAAAUCUCUGUCUCUCUUCAAACUUUGUUAUUAGACAUAUUCUUCCAGGAUAAUAGGAAGCCAUUUAAGAAAAUCUUCUUCCAAAGCCACCAUUCUGAAGCAUUUGAGUUUCUCAUCUUCACUUCCACAAACUUUUCACUAUUAGGAGAUAGUCAACUUGAUCAGCGCCACAAGAGGCGAGAUUUAGUUUUCAAGUGACAUUUUAAAAAGUUUAAAAAAAGCCCUGCACUGAUUGUUAAGUACCUACAAAUAUGCUUAGCUAAUCCUUGUGGUAUUGGUGUUAUCCCUAAUUUAGAAAUGGCUAAGUGGAGAAAGAUUAAAGCUGCCCAGGAAAAGAUUAAAUGGUAGCUGUUUUAUGUCUUUGAGAAAGGGAAGCAUGGAAAAUUGAAACCCACAAAUAAUACAGAAAUAUGACUUAAGCUAAAAGCUAUCUGGUUUACCUGCUUUCUGCCUUUCUGAUCUUCUGCACCCUCGAUGAAGAGGAAGUUAGACUGGCAAUUGCCAAGGAAGGAGUCAGCCUUCUCCUCCAAGCCUCUGCCUCUUAUGGGCUAAGGGGAUCUCAUCAAAAGUGGAACUCCCAUAGCUUGCUUUCUUUUUCAUUAAAUGGAUUACUAAAGAAGCAUUUUGAUGACCCAUCUUUAGGACUCUCAUAUUCUGUGAAUUUGUUCAGGUGACUUUUCUUAUAACUUCUCAUCAGUAAAAGAGAAGAUAAUAACAUUCUUUCCUUUCCUUUUUAUCAAGAUUCAAAAUUCAAAAUGUUGCAUUGAUUGAAAAUUCAACAUUGUGAAUAGACUCAAAAUUAAUUUUACUAAGUUCCAAGAUUUAAAGUAUUGAGUCUUUGAAGCAUUCUAGCUUCUUAAGGGAAACUAGUGUACAUUCAUAAGUACACUAUUUCUUGUCAAUUUCUUUUGAGUUGCCCAUUAAAAAAUAAAAUAAAAACAUUCAAGAUUUAAGUUACAUCACAUUUGGAUUCUCUCAGACCGGAUUCUCUCAGACCUACACACUCUAUUCUGCUCUAUUUUUUCACUUUCAAUCACUUGAGCACUUUUAGGAAGGAUGGAAGGGGGUACUUUGUGUGGCAAUGCUAGACAAGCAGGAUCUGUUACAAGUUCCCUGGCUGAAUAAGUACACUUCUUUCAGCACUAUUGUACAUCAGCUGUCUCCAGUUACAGCCAAAGUAGGUGUGUAAUAUAUGACUGGACCUGCUACUAAUGCAGGUACACAAAUCCUGGGACAGAGACACCUUGUGCUGCCGUAAAUUGAUCUGCCCAGGCUUCCACUGAGUCAUCGGCACACAAAACGGGAGUUCACAUCAGAGAUGGUGGGAAUAGGUUUGAGUUCCGAUUUUUAUCUGGCUAUUCAAGAUCUGUAAAAGGAGUGAAUUUUAAAGUCCUCUUUUGUAGACAGUAUGAAGACCAUUUAAAUAUCCUGAACAUUCUGAAUUUAGAACUCUGAGUCUAAAAUUCCCCCCCCUUAAUAUUUAAAAUGGUGUGACAUAAAAAUCUAAUUUUCUUAUCACUAUUUUUAUCUGGCUUUAUAUUUUUCCUUAGAAUUGCUUUUCAUCCAAAGUGAAAAGCAUAUCGUUUGCAUUUCUUUAAAUGGAAAUACUAAGACUAUCAGUAUUAUUGAGGAAAAUAAAUGAAGAAGGUGACAUCUAAAGUUAAUUCCUUUCUUUGAAUAAUAGUUCAGAAUAGUAGUCAUUUUUUUUGCAUGUUGUCAGACUCUGAAAUAUUUGUUCAUACUGUCAGAAAUCAUUUACCCUAUUUUCUGAGUUACUGUGAAGCUGAUUGGGGAAUUAUAUUAUGGAAAAGGCAUUGGAAGUGCCCCUGGAAAUAUUGUGAUAUAAGUAGUAGAUGCUGUUGUGACUCUAUAAGAAAAGUUAAGACAUGGGAAAAGCAAAGCCAAUAUCUCACUUAUACAAUUCAAUAGGUAAUUUAGAGCAUCAGAUAUGUCUCAUCUUGGGCUGGGUUUCUCAGAGAUGCAUAGUUUGGAAAGAUGACAAGAAGAAAAUAACAUACCA